AAUGCCUUUUAUAUAUCAGCGUGUUGUUGCUUGUCUUGCAUACAGUGCCAAAUGGCAUUGUUGUUUCGGCAGGGAUACUUUUAUUAUCUAUGGCUUUCAUGGUUACCUUUUGUUUUAUUGUUAAAAUUGAUGUCUUUGCAUGCUAAGAAUGGUUUAGUGAGAAGAAAAUUUGAUGUCCUGUAAGCUCCCAGCUUUCUAUCUGAAAAUGGUGGUGAGGCAAAAAGGCUUGCUAAACUUAUGUCAUCCCCCAAAUUGUAGCAUUCCACUGUUGGAAAUUGAAUCGCUUUAUUUCCAUUUUGACACUGAGAACAUAAUCAUCAGUAUGAUAAAUUGCCAAUUGAACUAAGAAGUAUUUAAUCCAUUCAUCUCUAUUAUGUUGAUUUCGUUGGCAAAAUUACAAGGGGCAUUACACUUGGUUCCUGAGUAAGACUAGAAAUUAGUCUACUACUGCCAGUAGCUCUUGUACAAUUAAAUAUUAUGUUGGAGAAAUUGCAAUUCAUACUUAGUUUCCGUUUAACCUUUGUGUUUGGGGUGGAGUGACAAUGAACCUUUAUACUUACAGAAGUACACAAGUUCGAGUUCACCAAAUUGCCACAACCAAGGGUCCAGUUUACUUCGGCGAUCCUCAGCUAUUCCUGCCAAAUAUAUAUAGAUAGCGCAUGAGUUCUAGUGGGGGGUUUGAGUCACCAACAGAGCAAAGUUGGAAAAGCCGCUGUGUUUGACUCUUUCGCCUUGGUGUUGGGGUUGGUACUGUAUAAAAAAAUGGAGAAAGUUGGCUUCAAUUGUCAACUAAGGGGGAUGCUAAGUCGUCGUUGAUCACCAUCUAGAAAUGUCAGGGGAUGCUAAGUCCUUGCGGAUCGCCAACUAGAAAAUAAGAGCAAAAAUAGGAGUUGUCUGUGUUACCAACCAGUCUCACCCAUUCAAGAUGUGGUUCCUUUGGCUGAGGUGAUUAUAAACACUCUUUAUCAUGUUUAUCUCAUCCCCAGUCAUCGGCGCGACAAGAAUUGAUGUACUUCUAUUAGGGCUACCCUCAUGCAACUGUUGCAUUAAUAUAUAGCACACCAAGUUUUUGUAAAUGAUUGGAAGUGAAGCAUGCGGAAUGAUAGCUUGGUAUACCUGAAGGAUGUCCCCUCACCAUGGCCAAUUUGACUGUGAAUGUAAGGUUUGAUUAGGGGCCUAUGAGCAUUUUUAGGAAGAAAAAUCGACAGAAUUUGGUGUUACAUUAGACCAUAUGCACCAAUUGUUCACAGUUCAUUGUAACAAUGCAUAUGAAUAUGAUGGUAAAUGAAGACAUGAUUACUUGUUAUGGUA